ACACACAACCAACAGCGGGAUGCUCAGAGGCAACAAGAGGUGACGGCAGAAGAUUAUGUGCUGUAAGAAGCUCCAAUCAGCCAGUAAAUGACUGAUGAAGAACAUGUCAACAUGUUGGACGAGCACACGCAGUCUCUGCCAGAGCGCCGCGGGCAGACGGCCAUCCUGAUGACGUAAACGAGGCGCCUCCAACCCUGAUGAAGAUUACAUGUGUUUGUGAAGUUGAUCCUAUUUACAUUCAGUGCAAGCAAACAUGAUAUUCAUUAUUUUGGGUCACAACAAGAGUGCAAUGUUACUGGUAUAUCUUAACAUAAUAUCAUUGUGAUAUUGGCAACUAUGUGCAGC